GACGAACGCUGGCGGCGUGCCUAACACAUGCAAGUCGAACGAUCCCGCACUCAAUUUUAUUUACAAGGUGAAAAAAGAUGUACUAUGUUUAUUUAUUACGACUGAGUGAUAAAACGACAUACGUAGGGUACACAUCUAAUUUAAAAGUGAGAAUCAAACAACAUAGAAAUAACUAUGUAGAUUCAACACGGAAUAAAGACCCAGAGCUUGUAUAUUAUGAAGCUUUCAAAUCACGCAAAGAUGCAAUGGUAAGAGAGCAGAAGUUAAAACAAGGUCAAUCGAAAAGACAUUUAAUUGAAAGAAUACAAGAUAGUAUAAAUCUUUGUGAAUAAAAUUGAGUGCGGGAUAGUGGCGGACGGGUGAGUAACGCGUGAACAAUCUGCCCCGUACAAAGGGAUAGCCUCGGGAAACCGGGAUUAAAACCAUAUAACGCUUUAGUACCGCAUGGUAAUAAAGUCAAAUCGAUUAAGGGGUAUGGGAUGAGUUCGCGUCUGAUUAGCUAGUUGGUGAGGUAAGGGCUCAACCG
rnacentral:rRNA from 1 species